rnacentral:rRNA from 1 species
AUUGAACGCUGGCGGCAUGCUUUACACAUGCAAGUCGAACGGUAACAGGGUGCUUGCACCGCUGACGAGUGGCGAACGGGUGAGUAAUGCGUCGGAACGUGCCGAGUAGUGGGGGAUAACGCAGCGAAAGUUGUGCUAAUACCGCAUACGUACUGAGGUAGAAAGUGGGGGACCUUCGGGCCUCACGCUAUUCGAGCGGCCGACGUCUGAUUAGCUAGUAGGUGAGGUAAAGGCUCACCUAGGCGACGAUCAGAAGCGGGUCUGAGAGGAUGAUCCGCCACACGGGGACCGAGACACGGCCCAGACUCCUACGGGAGGCAGCAGUGGGGAAUUUUGGACAAUGGGCGAAAGCCUGAUCCAGCCAUGCCGCGUGUGUGAAGAAGGUCUUCGGAUUGUAAAGCACUUUAAGUUGGGAGGAAGGGCAGUAAGUUAAUACCUUGCUGUUUUGACGUUACCGACAGAAUAAGCACCGGCUAACUCUGUGCCAGCAGCCGCCGUAA